AACCUAAUGGCGAAAUUGGCAUCGCAUCCACUGCACUUGUAUGAGCAAUUAAUUGAUGCUUAUGUGGAAGGCCCUCGUUCGAAUCGAGGUUAGGUAA